CAGCAGCCACGGUAAAACGAAGGGUGCAAGCGUUAAUCGGAAUUACUGGGCGUAAAGCGUGCGUAGGUGGUGGUUUAAGUCCGUUGUGAAAGCCCUGGGCUCAACCUGGGAAUUGCAGUGGAUACUGGGUCACUAGAGUGUGGUAGAGGAUAGUGGAAUUUCCGGUGUAGCAGUGAAAUGCGUAGAGAUCGGAAGGAACAUCUGUGGCGAAGGCGACUAUCUGGGCCAACACUGACACUGAGGCACGAAAGCGUGGGGAGCAAACAGGAUUAGAUACCCCAGUAGUCCCUGUCUCUUAUAA
rnacentral:rRNA from 1 species